CUAGCUGGAGCAAACUGGCACGGGGGUCUACUGAUUUUCAUGGGAAUGUUAGCCCAGCGCUUCCCAGGAAGCGGUUCUGUCAGCGGAUGCCCUUGCUCUCUGAGUAAUACCUCCCUCUGCAGGUCAUUGUGGGUAGGACGCUCUGGGUCCUAUAAGAACUAUGGAUAUAGUCGUACCAUCUUCCAAACAUACAGAAGGAAGUCCUCACCCCAGCGUUUGUGAAUGUGCUCUCACGUGGCAAUAGCAUCUUUGAGCGUGUAAUCACCACAAGAUGAUGCUGUACCACGUGAGAGUGGGCUAUGGCCUUUAAGACUUGCGUGUUCAUAGAACACGGGGAAUUGGAACGCACAGACACCAAGGGACUACCAUGGGACUGAGGAGGUGGACAUUCAAGUGAUAUGUCUAUGAGCUGAGGAACACUGAGGACUGGCGAGAAGUUCGGGAGCUGGGAAACACACAAGCUCUAUAACCUGCCAGAGACUGGCUCUACAUAUUGGAUUUAGAAUUGUGGCUUCCAUAAAUGCAAGACAGGUAUGUGUGUGGGUGAGCAUUGCAGUACCCACACUGACCAGAAGGGGCAUAAGAUCCCCUGGAACUGGAGUUACAACCAAGGUGCUGAGAACCAAACUCCGAUCAUCUGAAAGAGCACGGUACAUGCUUUUAAUCACCAUAUGGACAGCAUAGGGUUUAUCCGAUAAGAUAGGUACAGUGUCGCUAGGUGGAACCAGCCUUGGGAUCCCCAUCACGCACGUAUCCUGCGGUUAACUGAAAUAUACUUAAACAGCGCAUGACUGUGCUGUGUAUGGGAACCACUGGGAAUGAGGGCAGCCACAAAGAUGGACACCAUGCAGUCCUUGCUUACUGUAACUGCAAGCACCGUGUAAGUAAGGCAGCUGAGACAUUAGGGGAGGCUUAUGGGUAGCUUGCCUUCCCCCUGGGGGGUGGGGAGCGGGGCUCCUCAUUGGGUCAGGAAUGGACGCUGACUGUAAGCCUACCAUACCUUCUCCAAGGUCUCUAGAGUCUGGGGGUCGAUUUUCCUGAUGUAGUUGGUCUCUGUGGUGGCAUAGAAGUCUUCUCCACAUUUCAUGAUGUUAAUCAGGCAGUUGUCUGUGAAGUCGGGGAUGGUGUGGGACAAGUAGGAGAAAGCUCUGGAGAGAGAGAAAGCCAGCCCGUUAGCCGCUGCGCCUGGCCAACUGGGAAGGCUACCCUCCGGGACCUGCCUUUCUCACCGUGUAGCGUGUUCUGCUUCCACAGUAGAGAAAAGACUCUGGGUGUCAACUCUGGGUCACUUGAGGAAUCUGGGGGACUCAGGUAUCGGGCUCCCCACACAGUCUACAACAAGUCAGCCAGCAAGUAAGGUGCUGGGGCAGUGUGGCCACACGACACUCCUCCCGAGUGUCUGAAGUGCAGGGGUCUCUUCAGCUAGAACCAGCAGGAACUGGUAUGCUUCCAACUCUUUUAAGUAGCCACACAGAGACCAGAUCUGUACUCAUAAUGCUCCCCAAACCUAGCAAACGGUUAAUCUUUGCAUUGACAAUCUAAAUUCCCUACUGAAUAUUUAAAUAUUGUUCAAGAAAUCAUUUGUGGGUUUUUUGUUUGUUUACUUGUUGAUUUUUUUCUUUUGAAACAAGGAUUCAUUUAUCCCAGGCUAGCCUAAACUUGCUAAGUUCAAGGAUGUCCUUGAACUUCUGAUUAUCCUGCCUCCACCUUCUGAGUAUGUGGCUAGGCAUUAUAAUUAUAUCAUCGUCGUCGUCGUCGUCGUCGUCGUCGUCGUCAUCAUCAUCAUCAUCAUCAUCAUCAUCAAAAAGGAAAAGAAACUCAUGUUCUGUAAGACUCGGGGUUCAUUUCACCAAAUGGCAAAUUGCAAACAGGAAGAAAGAGAACCCAAGGGGGAUUAAUUGAUACAAAUGGCAAAGCCUGGAUGCAAGCCUUGAGUGGUGCUCCCCCUAGCGACAGAGGAUGUAACUGCAGGAUUCUCCUCCAGGUAAGGUUUUGGAGUCCUUCAGGUCCCCUCCCUUCUCUCUGUUGACACCACCCCAGCUCAGCCCCAUCUGCAAGGGCAAGUCGCCCUGUUCCAGGGAAGGAUGAUGUCAGCCUCGGGAGAGCAGAAGCAGUUUUCCUAUCUUUGGCAAUCCACCCUGAGUCUUACCAUAGCUCUCUGAAGUGUAUCUGAAGAGAGAUAGUGGGAGCGAGCCUGACUCUGUAGCCAAGAAUUUAAUUGUUGAAUGUGUAAUACAAGCAUCUGCUUCA